rnacentral:RNase_P_RNA from 23 species
CAAGUAAGCUGGACAGCCGCGGAUCGAGGCCGAAAGGCCCGAUAUGAGGAAAGUCCGGGCUCCACAGGGCAAGGAUAACGGGUAACACCCGCCGGGGGCGACCCUAGGAAAAGGGCAACAGAGAUAUACCGCCACGUUCUGCGUGGUAAGGGUGGAAAGGCGGAGGUAAGAGCCCGCCCGACGACUGGGAACUGCUCGUCGCUGUAACCUCUAUCCGGAGCAACGCCGUGGGAGAACAUAUGGCCGGCCCGGCCGUUCUCAGGAGGCGGCUUGAUCGUACCGGCAACGGUACGGCUAGAUAGAUGGCUGUCUUAAAAGACAGAACCCGGCUUACAGGCUUACUUGCCGC